CUUAGGUAACACAGGAAACUCAGCACAGGAGCUGAUCCAGGAUGUCUGAUGCCUGAAUCUGUAAUUCCCACUGAGAUCGAACUUCCAGUGACUCCAGAAAAGGACGGCAGCAUGACCAUCCUUUCCUGUUCAGCCAAACACCUUAACUAGAAUUAUUCAAGUUUAAAGCAAAAUUUCAGCAGUAACUGAAAUGCUUGCAGAAUACACGAACAACAGCGCCCUCUGCACCUGAAACCCCUCCGGUUAUUAAACCCAGACGUUCCUACGUGCUGGAGGAGCCUUUAAUUUCAAUUACUGCUUUUUUCAGCUGCUGCAGUAAACAUCACACUGAACCAUGGGGGGGACCUGGUCAUGAGCAAAUCACAAACAGACUGUCUCGACUGGCAGAAAAUCAAGCACCAACAUUUCAUCAGUGGAGGAACUCUUCUCUCCAGAGAUUUCGUCAAAGGCAAUGCAAGAAGGCAAGAUCUGGCAACAGCACCUGUCAAGAUUCCAAACCCAAGAAAUUAAAAAACACCUACUGUCCAAAUUAUUGUUGUACUGGUAGAAACAGGAUAGUAGCCUUUGGUCUUCCUGUGAAUAAACUGGAACAGAACUCUGUAUUGCCAGCUGAAUUUCUUUUUCAGCAACUCAACUUUCACAGUGAAUCAGGAGUACAAUUCUUCUACUCUCUGCAUUUUAGUUUGGUCUCAGCUCUGUCUUCAUGA
rnacentral:lncRNA from 1 species